UAAGAGGAGAAGAAAGAGAAGGAGGAGGAGAAACGUCCAUCCGUCCAAUAGCGAACGGAAUAAUUAUGCAAAUUUAUUCUCCCCGCGCCAGUAAUCCAAAUUCGCGAAGCUCGAAGAAGAAGAAAGAAGACGAUUGAAAAUGUGUAUGUAUGUAUGAGAAAGAGAGAGAGAGAGAGA